GACAGAGGGUGCAAACGUUGCUCGGAAUUACUGGGCGUAAAGCGCACGUAGGCGGCUUCUUAAGUCGGUGGUGAAAUCCUGGAGCUCAACUCCAGAACUGCCUUCGAUACUGGGAAGCUCGAGUCCGGGAGAGGUGAGUGGAACUGCGAGUGUAGAGGUGAAAUUCGUAGAUAUUCGCAAGAACACCAGUGGCGAAGGCGGCUCACUGGCCCGGUACUGACGCUGAGGUGCGAAAGCGUGGGGAGCAAA
rnacentral:rRNA from 1 species